GGGUCCGCACAAGCGGUGGAGCAUGUGGUUUAAUUCGAAGAUACGCGCAGAACCUUACCAACACUUGACAUGUUCGUCGCGACUCUAAGAGAUUAGAGUUUUCGGUUCGGCCGGACGAAACACAGGUGCUGCAUGGCUGUCGUCAGCUCGUGUCGUGAGAUGUUGGGUUAAGUCCCGCAACGAGCGCAACCCUCACUUUUAGUUGCCAUCAUUUAGUUGGGCACUCUGAAAGAACUGCCAGUGAUAAGCUGGAGGAAGGUGGGGAUGACGUCAAGUCCUCAUGGCCCUUACGUGUUGGGCUACACACGUGCUACAAUGGUAUCUACAACAGGAAGCAAGACGGCGACGUUAAGCAAAUCCUUAAAAAAUACCUCAGUUCGGAUUGCACUCUGCAACUCGAGUGCAUGAAGCUGGAAUUACUAGUAAUCG
rnacentral:rRNA from 1 species